rnacentral:tRNA from 1 species
AGCCCUGUAGUGUAGUGGUCUAGCAUCGGGGACUCUGGAUCCCUGGACCCAGGUUCAAAUCCUGGCGGGGCUA